CUCGGGUCAAUAGAACUUUAAGUCAUUGACGAACUGAAGUUUCUCGACGAAGUUUUAAAAUAUUUACUGUUGUCAGAUUACAAACUGAGAUAUAUUCUCUCUACACAAAUGGAUUUCCGUCUGAAUAUUUGUCUGUUGUUGAUAUUUUUCGUGGCAUUUUCUGAUGUCGAUGGCGGUAAAUCUCUUGGACGUACUGAGGAACUUUGCUCCUCCGUGCCGGGUGGCUUGUGCAUAGAAACUCAGUGUCCUGACGAUUACUAUGAAUGCCCUGAGUAUUUUUGUUCGCAUCCUUGGCAAACUUGCUGUUGCCCUUAUUAACGUGGAAAAUAAGAGUGGAUUGGUCUAAUUAAGCAGUUGUAAAAUUUAACUGUUCAGUUUACAUUGAUUAAUUAAAGGG